rnacentral:misc_RNA from 1 species
UGUGGGAGCUGGCUUGCCUGCGAUGCGCACACCUCGCGGCCCGGUGGCACCGGGGUGAUGCCAUCGCAGGCAAGCCAGCUCCCACA